GCACCUCAACUUGGAGACUGUUUCUUUUGGAAUGUUCAAGAAGCCCUGAUCAUCAGAAUGGGGCAGCACUCAGCUCCCAGUCCUGCACUGUGAUCCAUCCAUCCUGCAGAGAACUGGCUCUGCUUCGUACAAGUGCCAUUUAACACCUGGAGGGCUAUGGUGCUUCAGUGGUAAGUGAGGUAACAAUUUAAAAGAACUAACUCACUAUACGAAAUGAUGCUGUCUGCUGCGAUACUUAAAAUCAUCUUGCGACACUCUGGAGCUCAAUGCAUAAAAUAUCAGGAAAUUUAGUGCUGGAAGCAGUGCAAAUGAUACUUGAGUCUGCCUUCAGUUG